GGCGACAGCCAUUACUCUCGCAUCGGAGAAGCCGUCUGGCGUCUACAGUGCGACGUGGAGGCCAUUAACAAAGUAGGGCUCUGGCGUAAAAAAAGGGUGGAAAAACAAAACAGGCAUACGAUUUAUAUUGGCGAGUCUCUUCGGGUCUUAAUAUCCUCGUUAUCACCGCACGAUAUUUCUUCCGGGUAGGCGAUGUUUCCUUCAGACUGACAACCCUUCACUUGAGAGCUAAACAAAUUCGAAGAGGUCUCUUUAGCUGUGAGGUCUCGCGAGGGAGCGAGAACGUGCGGAGAUAAAUAAAUUGCGGGGGAAGAUGCCGAAAAGAGUCAUUAUUCAGUUUGAGGAGACAAAUACUGUAAUAAACAAGGAAACGUAGUCAUCGUGCGAUCAACUUGUGUGCAUGUUCGUAUGCCUGCAGCCAGAUGGCAUACAUAUACAAGCGCAUUUAGAGUCUCUAUAGUAUAAGUCUGGACACAGUUAGGAAUUUGACAAAACAUGACGAAAACGAUCAAGAAACAAUCGAGUCACGUUACGAGUAAGCAUCGCAAAGACAGAAAAUACAUAAAAUGUCUGGUUGCUGCAUACCGAAUUGUCACAAUUCAACAGAAAAAGGUUUUUCAAUGAGGAGUUUUCCAGCAGAUAUAGAACAAAGAGCA